CUUGCCCUACGGGAGGCAGCAGUGAGGAAUAUUGGUCAAUGGCCGGAAGGCUGAACCAGCCAAGCCGCGUGAAGGACGAAGGUGCCAAGCAUUGUAAACUUCUUUUGUCAAGGGACAAAAUCAGGCUCGAGAGCCUGACCGAGGGUACUUGAAGAAAAAGCAUCGGCUAACUCCGUGCCAGCAGCCGCGGUAAUACGGAGGAUGCGAGCGUUAUCCGGAUUUAUUGGGUUUAAAGGGUGCGUAGGCGGAAUAUCAAGUCAGCGGUAAAAAUUCGGGGCUCAACCCCGUCGUGCCGUUGAAACUGA
rnacentral:rRNA from 1 species